CCUACGGGAGGCUGCAGUAGGGAAUAUUGCUCAAUGGGGGAAACCCUGAAGCAGCAACGCCGCGUGGAGGAUGAAGGUUUUCGGAUUGUAAACUCCUUUUGUUAGAGAAGAUAAUGACGGUAUCUAACGAAUAAGCACCGGCUAACUCCGUGCCAGCAGCCGCGGUAAUACGGAGGGUGCAAGCGUUACUCGGAAUCACUGGGCGUAAAGAGCGCGUAGGCGGGAUAGCAAGUCAGAUGUGAAAUCCUAGGGCUUAACCAUAGAACUGCUUUUGAAACUGUUAUUCUAGAGUAUGGGAGAGGUAGGUGGAAUUCUUGGUGUAGGGGUAAAAUCCGUAGAGAUCAAGAGGAAUACUCAUUGCGAAGGCGACCUGCUAGAACAUAACUGACGCUGAUGCGCGAAAGCGUGGGGAGCAAACAGGAUUAGAUACCCCGGUAGUC
rnacentral:rRNA from 1 species